AGUGAACGCUGGCGGUAGGCCUAACACAUGCAAGUCGAACGGCAGCACAGUAAGAGCUUGCUCUUACGGGUGGCGAGUGGCGGACGGGUGAGGAAUACAUCGGAAUCUACUUUUUCGUGGGGGAUAACGUAGGGAAACUUACGCUAAUACCGCAUACGACCUACGGGUGAAAGCAGGGGAUCUUCGGACCUUGCGCGAUUGAAUGAGCCGAUGUCGGAUUAGCUAGUUGGCGGGGUAAAGGCCCACCAAGGCGACGAUCCGUAGCUGGUCUGAGAGGAUGAUCAGCCACACGGGAACUGAGACACGGUCCAGACUCCUACGGGAGGCAGCAGUGGGGAAUAUUGGACAAUGGGCGCAAGCCUGAUCCAGCCAUACCGCGUGGGUGAAGAAGGCCUUCGGGUUGUAAAGCCCUUUUGUUGGGAAAGAAAAGCAGCAGGUUAAUACCCCGCGGUUCUGACGGUACCCAAAGAAUAAGCACCGGCUAACUUCGUG
rnacentral:rRNA from 1 species